rnacentral:rRNA from 1 species
GAUGAACGCUGGCGGCGUGCCUAAUACAUGCAAGUCGAGCGAACAGACGAGGAGCUUGCUCCUCUGACGUUAGCGGCGGACGGGUGAGUAACACGUGGAUAACCUACCUAUAAGACUGGGAUAACUUCGGGAAACCGGAGCUAAUACCGGAUAAUAUAUUGAACCGCAUGGUUCAAUAGUGAAAGACGGUUUUGCUGUCACUUAUAGAUGGAUCCGCGCCGCAUUAGCUAGUUGGUAAGGUAACGGCUUACCAAGGCAACGAUGCGUAGCCGACCUGAGAGGGUGAUCGGCCACCCUGGAACUGAGCCACGGUCCAGACUCCUACGGGAGGCAGCAGUAGGGAAUCUUCCGCAAUGGGCGAAAGCCUGACGGAGCAACGCCGUGUGAGUGAUGAAGGUCUUCGGAUCGUAAAACUCUGUUAUUAGGGAAGAACAAAUGUGUAAGUAACUAUGCACGUCUUGACGGUACCUAAUCAGAAAGCCACGGCUAACUACGUG